CAAGACUGAAACUCAAAGGAAUUGACGGGGGCCCGCACAAGCGGUGGAGCAUGUGGUUCAAUUCGACGCAACGCGAAGAACCUUACCGGGGCUUGAACUGUAACUGCAACUCGUUGAAAGACGGGGUUCUCUUCGGAGACGGUUAUAGAGGUGCUGCAUGGCUGUCGUCAGCUCGUGUCGUGAGAUGUUGGGUUAAGUCCCGCAACGAGCGCAACCCUUACUCUUAGUUGCCAUCAGGUUAAGCUGGGCACCCUAAGAGAACUGUCGGCGAAAAGCCGGAGGAAGGUGGGGAUGACGUCAAGUCCUCAUGGCCCUUACGUCCCGGGCUACACACGUGCUACAAUGGCUGGUACAAAGGGUUGCCAACCCGCGAGGGGGAGCUAAUCCCAAAAAACCAGUCCCAGUUCGGAUUGCAGUCUGCAACUCGACUGCAUGAAGUUGGAAUCGCUAGUAAUCGCAGAUCAGCACGCUGCGGUGAAUACGUUCCCGGGCCUUGUACA
rnacentral:rRNA from 1 species